rnacentral:rRNA from 1 species
AAAUUGAAGAGUUUGAUCAUGGCUCAGAUUGAACGCUGGCGGCAGGCCUAACACAUGCAAGUCGAGCGGUAGCACAGAGAGCUUGCUCUCGGGUGACGAGCGGCGGACGGGUGAGUAAUGUCUGGGAAACUGCCUGAUGGAGGGGGAUAACUACUGGAAACGGUAGCUAAUACCGCAUAACGUCGCAAGACCAAAGUGGGGGACCUUCGGGCCUCAUGCCAUCAGAUGUGCCCAGAUGGGAUUAGCUAGUAGGUGGGGUAACGGCUCACCUAGGCGACGAUCCCUAGCUGGUCUGAGAGGAUGACCAGCCACACUGGAA